UACGGAGGGUGCAAGCGUUAAUCGGAAUUACUGGGCGUAAAGAGUACGUAGGUGGUUUAUUAAGUCAGAUGUGAAAGCCCCGGGCUUAACCUGGGAACUGCAUUUGAAACUGGUAAACUAGAGUAUGGUAGAGGCGGGUAGAAUUCAUAGUGUAGCGGUGAAAUGCGUAGAUAUUAUGAGGAAUACCAGUGGCGAAGGCGGCCCGCUGGACCAAUACUGACACUGAGGUACGAAAGCGUGGGUAGCGAACAGGAUUAGAUACCCUGGUAGUCCACGCCGUAAACGAUGUCAACUAGCCGUUGGGACCUUGAGGUCUCAGUGGUGCAGCUAACGCGUGAAGUUGACCGCCUGGGGAGUACGGCCGCAAGGCUAAAACUCAAAUGAAUUGACGGGGGCCCGCACAAGCGGUGGAGCAUGUGGUUUAAUUCGAUGCAACGCGAAGAACCUUACCAUCCCUUGACAUCAUCAGAACUUGUUAGAGAUAACUCGGUGCCUUCGGGAACUGAAUGACAGGUGCUGCAUGGCUGUCGUCAGCUCGUGUCGUGAGAUGUUGGGUUAAGUCCCGCAACGAGCGCAACCCUUAUCCUUAGUUGCCAGCACGUAAUGGUGGGAACUCUAAGGAGACUGCCGGUGAUAA
rnacentral:rRNA from 1 species